CCGCCCUGCACGGCCCUGCUGCCGUCCGCUCCUCUCGUCCAGGUCCUGCCAUGUCCAUCUGUCCCCGGCCGGGGCUGGCUGGCCGUCAGCCCUGCCACUCCUGGGCUAGUGGAGACGCGGCCGCCCGGGCAGCCUGGCCUCGGAGGCCGUGACACAGAAAUGCACAAAUGCGGAAGACGGCAGUGCAGAGACGACCGGUGACCUCGACUGCAGAGCCGACAGGUGGCCAGGCCACUGCUGCUGGGAGCCUGUCCAGGAGGGGCCGGGGAAGGCUGCGAUCCCGCGCGGCGGCCACAAAGCCAGCGGGCUAGGCCCGAGGCCAGCCCCAGAGGCCCUGGAGCUCCGGUGCUGGGGCGCAGUGGACGCGUGCCGGGGGGACAAGGACCCCGCCCUCCAGCCGUCCUGCUGGACCGCUCCAGUCUUUCUCCUGGCACAAAUAUUCCCCCA
rnacentral:lncRNA from 1 species